rnacentral:tRNA from 1 species
GCGCCCCUAGCUCAGCUGGAUAGAGCAUCGGACUUCGAAUCCGCAGGUCCCCCGUUCGAAUCGGGGGGGGCGCG